CUAUCAUGGACUACCAACAAAGGAUGCACAAUAUAUGCCAUAAAAACCACAAAAAUCUCAAAAAAAUUUGGAUAAAAUCAGUGCUAUAAAGAAAGAGUUUUGGUUUUCUAAUCUCAUAGAAUUUAAAAUCCAAACUAAUUCCUACUUUGACUUGGUCCACAACCACAUUCCAUGAAAGAGAGAAAGAGUGGAAAGCUUUGGGCAUGUGUGAAGGU
rnacentral:lncRNA from 1 species